rnacentral:lncRNA from 1 species
CCCUUCGCCCCGAGUUCUCCAUCCCCUGGAUCGCGGGCUCGCGGGGAAGAGGAUCCAGGAAAGGCUGUUCUCCAUUGCUAAGAAGACUGAGGUUUGCUGCGGCCAGGGAAAGGAGGUGUCCUUCCUGUACCCCACACCAUCCUUCUGCUAGAAGAAAGUUUCUUUUCCAUCCCAUGGAAGCCACUUCCGGAGACAAGCUUCAGGAGAAAAGGAAAAGCAGAUGUCAGCCUGUGACACAGAAUAAUCGAUUUGCUCAGUGCUUCUAUUUUCCUACCAAUUUUGUAUUUUUCAAAAAGGACAAUAAAACAAUUGUACUCUCGGCUAAUUAAUGACAAGCUGGUAAAAGCAUCUCCUCAUUGUUCCAUUUAUUUCUCCAUUUCUCCCAGUUAACAGCCCUGUCUCUGAAAUGAAUCAAUGUCGUUUACACAAUGCUGUCACCCCAUUGUUC